UUGGUUUCCAAAAUAUUUACAAUCUUGUUCCUAUUGUUGUUACUGCCUCAGUUCUGGAGGCAAUGAUAUAUGGUAGGGGUCCAAUGCCAUCGGGAAUGUAAAUGGUUCCAAUGGUGUUACCACACGGUCGAAUUGACUAUGUCGGCUAUGUUCUACAAUAACUUGGUGUACAAGCGCCACCCAACCGACCUCGCAGAAGUGAUCGGAGUAAUGGUCCAAGUAGGCAGCCAGGGCGAGGAGGUGGUAGUGGCAAUGAUGAAGACAACCAUACGAGAAGGCAUUGUCUUUGAGUUGUUAAUGCCUUUGAGUUGAUUUCUUAUUUAGAAGUAGAAUUUAAAUGUUUUUCCUCUGUACUCAUGUAUAAGAACUUGAACUUGUAGUGUUAGUAGUGUUGUAUUGUUGUGGCAGCAAGUAUCUUAUGUAAAAGACU